UGUUAACGUUUUCUUCUUUGUUAACGUUGUUGAACACCGCACACAAAUGGCAUCGCUGUGGACCGGCUUAUGUCACUUCUUAGUACACACUGCUGGUGCAAAUGCAACCCUUUGAAUGGCACUGGGAAAUAGUUCACUCAAAAUCGUCCCAGUACUUUAAUACUGUAUCUUUAGUUGAGGAACUAAACUUCGCGGUGCGAAAGGCCCUUAUAACUUUGGUUGCAAUUACCCAUGAGAUCAUGUACUGAAUUGUAAAGUGACAAUGCAUUUGUCACUGUAUGUAUGCAUUAUACAUACAGGCUUCAAGUAAAGCGCUGACAACUGAGACAUAUAUUAAAGCAGAGAAACAGAAUGAGAAUCCGUUUAAAAACAAAAACUGACUACAGCAUUUAGAAACUUUGUAUUGAUUAUUAAUUGGAAGAACGAACAUGAUUUUGCAAGUUUAUCUGGUAGGGUGCUAGUAAAUCUACUGAUCUUUUUUCAAUCAUAAAGAGUCAUUUCUCAGAAGUUAAUACCACACAGAGCAGUCAGAACAGCUUUGUUUGUAUGUGGUUAAUAUAAUGAUGAAGCUAUGAGUUUUACAAAAUGAUUCACAUUCUGGGUGGAACCAAUAUUGGAUCCAAAUGUGGACCGCAGUCCAUUUAUUGGAAGAAAAAAAAUGCCUGAAAAGAAAAUCUUUUCAAUAAUUUUAGGAAAAUUGAACAGGGAUGCACAAAGAUAUCGCAAACUUGACCCUACACCAGAUCUAGGUCAAUUCACUGAUCUGAAUUUUCCACACAUCACUAAAACCUUCAACACUAACGUUUUUCAUCAGUUUUCAAUAACCUCACCAGGCUUAAAAUAGAAAUCACCUCACCCAAUGACUGAAUGAAAACGUCUUUAUGCCUUUUCCCAAACUCAGACAUUAUUACAUACCAUUUCCACCCAGUUUUUGACAGAUAAAUCAUUUCUUUCAAAGAAGAUAUUUUACCUACAUAUACAUUUUAAAUGCAUAAAUAGUAUGGCAGAUUAGUUUUAUUUUAUGUGAAGAACACAUUAGAUAUUUUGUCUAUAGAACAAUCAUUUUACUGAAAUUUGUGCAAAAAAAAAAAACCUGCUCCUAGAUGUGUUUUUAUUUCGAUUAACUGUAACUACCUGAAUCUUUGUAUCUUAUCUAACAAUUUAUAGAAAGUUUCAUCAUUUUAAAUGUCAUGUUCACAAUCAUGUCAUUAUUGCUGCCAUCUUCGUAUCUUUCUUGUAGAAAUUCUAGAAAAAUAUAUACAGUAAAAAUCAGAAUCAAACUGCUAUAAAGGCGUGUGAAGAUGAAUCUCAUCAGCAAAUAAAUGUCCUGUUAUGAAUAA